GACGAACGCUGGCGGCGUGCCUAAUACAUGCAAGUAGAACGCAGUUGCGAACGGGUGAGUAACGCGUAGGUAACUGCCUCAUAGCGGGGGAUAACUAUUGGAAACGAUAGCUAAUACCGCAUAUUGUGAGAUGGAACUGCGUUGUAUUAGCGAGUUGGUGAGGUAAAGGCUCCCCAAGGCGAAGAUACAUAGCCUACCUGGGAGGGGGAUCGGGCACACAUGGAACUGUACACGGGCCAGACUCCGACGGUAUGUAGCAGUAGGGAAUCUUCGGCAAUGGGCUGAAGUCGUACCGAGCAACGCGGCGUAAGUGAAAAAGGUUUUCGGAUCGUAAAGCUCUGUUGUUAGAGAAGCGGUACCUAACCAGAAAGGGACGGCUAACUACGUGCCAGCAGCCGCGGUAAUUC
rnacentral:rRNA from 1 species